rnacentral:rRNA from 1 species
GACGAACGCUGGCGGCGCGCCUAACACAUGCAAGUCGAACGAGCGAGCGAGAGCUUGCUUUCUUGAGCGAGUGGCGAACGGGUGAGUAACGCGUGAGGAACCUGCCCCAAAGAGUGGGACAACAGUUGGAAACGACUGCUAAUACCGCAUAAGCCCACGGUGCCGCAUGGCACGGAGGGAAAAGGAGCAGUCCGCUUUGGGCUCGCGUCGCGUCCGAUUAGCUAGUUGGUGUGGUAACGGCCCACCAAUGCGACGAUCGGUAGCCGGACGGAGAGGUUGAAAGGCCACAUUGGGAAUGAGACACGGACCAGACUCCUACGGGAGGGAGCAGUGGGGAAUAUUGCACGAUGGGGGAAAACGUGAUGCAGCGACGCCGGGUAGAGGAAGAAGGUGUUCGGAUUGUAAACUCCUGUUGUAGGAGAAGAUAAUGACGGUACCCAACAAGGAAGUGACGGCUAACUACGUG